rnacentral:rRNA from 1 species
AUACGGGAGGCAGCAGUGAGGAAUAUUGGUCAAUGGACGAGAGUCUGAACCAGCCAAGUAGCGUGCAGGAUGACGGCCCUAUGGGUUGUAAACUGCUUUUAUAAGGGAAUAAAGUGAGUCUCGUGAGACUUUUUGCAUGUACCUUAUGAAUAAGGACCGGCUAAUUCCGUGCCAGCAGCCGCGGUAAUACGGAAGGUCCGGGCGUUAUCCGGAUUUAUUGGGUUUAAAGGGAGCGUAGGCCGGAGAUUAAGCGUGUUGUGAAAUGUAGACGCUCAACGUCUGCACUGCAGCGCGAACUGGUUUCCUUGAGUACGCACAAAGUGGGCGGAAUUCGUGGUGUAGCGGUGAAAUGCUUAGAUAUCACGAAGAACUCCGAUUGCGAAGGCAGCUCACUGGAGCGCAACUGACGCUGAAGCUCGAAAGUGCGGGUAUCGAACAGGAUUAGAUACCCCUGGUAGUCCGCACGGUAAACGAUGGAUGCCCGCUGUUGGUCUGAAUAGGUCAGCGGCCAAGCGAAAGCAUUAAGCAUCCCACCUGGGGAG